GUGUGGUUUCCCAUAAGGAAGCUCUUCUUCCUGCUUGGCUUCCACCUUUAACCCUUCCACCUGGGAGCGUCCUCUAACACAUUCAGACUACAAGUCCAGACCCAGGAGAGCAAGGCCCAGAAAGAGGUCAAAAUGGGGUUUAUAUUUUCAAAAUCUAUGAAUGAAAGCAUGAAAAAUCAAAAGGAGUUCAUGCUUAUGAAUGCUCGACUUCAGAUGAGAUAACUGAAGCCCAAAGAUGAAAAGCAGCUUGCCUGAGGUCACACAGCUAGUAUGUAGGGGAGCUCAGAUUCAAAUCAGGGAGCCUGACUACAGAAUUGGAAUGCUUAUCUCCUCCUGCUUCACAUAUUCAUGAGACAUAUGCAAAAGCCGAGACAUGCUAAUGUGAGAAUGUGAGUUAGCCUUAAGCAAUUUGCUUUAUGAAUAACUGUAUUAUAAUUGCACAAUAAUGAUACAGUGAAUAGGAAGUGUUAGUAGAAGUUUUAAGACACAAUUAAAGAUAAGUUGUAGAAAUAAAGAAUACAUUCCUCUGG
rnacentral:lncRNA from 1 species